AUAUAUUUACACUAUGAUGUAAAACAAGUGAUGUUUGGUGUAAAAAAAACUAGACCAAGCAGUGGUGCCCUUAAUAGAGUAGGUUCAAUCUCCUUAAUAUAAAGUGAAAAGUUAAAUACGGGAACCGCGC